AAAGUCCCUAGAGGCAUUGCAGGUGUGGCUGUUGUGUCAUUUGGGAAUCAGUAGGUGGCAGGGGGAAGAAAGGCUAUGCUCAGUGUUCUGACUUAUGAACAUCUGAAUGAC
rnacentral:snoRNA from 1 species